CCCUCCCCGUCCCAGUCCUCUAAGGCAUCUUCCAUCCUCUAUGAGAUGAUCAUCAUAUGAUUUUUAUCCUUUAUUUCGUUAUUGUGAUGUAUCACACUGACUAAUUUGCAUACGUGGAACCAUCCUUGCAUCCCUGGAAUAAACCCCACUUGAUCAUGGUGGGAUUGAUCAUCAAUCCCACUAUGAUCCUUUUAUUUAUUUAUUUAUUUAUUUAUUUAUUAAGCUCUUUAUUGGAAUAUAAUUGCUUUACACUCUUGUAUCAGUUUUUGAGGUACACCAAAGUGAAUCAGCUGUAUUUACACAUAUAUCCCCACAUCCCCUCCCUCCCAUGACUCCCUCCCACCCUCCCUGUCCUGGCCUUCUAAAGCACCACCCAUCAUCAAGUUGAUCUCCCUUUGUUAUACAGCAACUUCCCACUAGCUAUCUGUUUUACAGUUGGUAGUGUAUAUAUGUCUAUGCUACUCUCUCACUUCGUCCCAGCUUCCCCUUCGCCCCCCCCAACCCUCUGUCCUCAAGUCCAUUCUCUACAUCUGCAUCUUUAUUCUUGCCCUGUCACUAGGUUCAUCAGUACCAUUUUUUUAGAUUCCAUAUAUAUGAGUUAGCAUACUGUAUUUGUUUUUCUCUUUCUGGCUUACUUCGCUCUGUAUGACAGUCUCUAGGUCUAUCCACCUCAUUAUAUAUAGUUCAAUUUCAUUCCUUUUUAUGGCUGAGUAAUAUUCCAUUGUAUAUAUGUGCCACAUCUUCUUUAUCCAUUCAUCUGUUGAUGGGCAUUUUGGUUGCUUCCAUGUCCUGGCUAUUGUAAAUAGUGCUGCAGUGAACAUUAUGGUACAUGUUUCUUUUUGGAUUAUGGUUUUCUCUGGGUCUAUGCCCAGUAGUGGGAUUACUGGAUCAUAUGGUAGUUCCAUUUUUAGUUUUUUAAGGAACCUCCAAACUGUUUUCCAUAGUGGCUGUACCAGCUUACAUUCCCACCAAGAGUGCAGGAGAGUUCCCUUUUCUCCACACCCUCUCCAACAUUUAUUGUUUCCAGAUAUUUUGAUGAUGGCCAUUCUGACCAGUGUGAGGUGAUACCUCAUUAUGGCUUUGACUUGCAUUGCGCUAAUGAUUAGUGAUGUUGAGUAUCUUUUCAUGUGUUUGUUGGCCAUCUGUAUGUCUUCUUUGGAGAAAUGUCUAUUUAGGUCUUCUGCCCAUUUGUGGAUUGGGUUAUUUGCUUUUUUGGUAUUAAGCUGCAUGAGCUGCUUGUAUAUUUUGGAGAUUAAUCCUUUGUCUUUUGCUUCAUUGGCAAGUAUUUUCUCUCAUUCUGAGGGUUGUCUUGUCUUGUUUAUGGUUUCUUUCGCUGUGCAAAAGCUUUUAAGUUUCAUGAGGUCCCAUUUGUUUCUUCUUGAUUUUAUUUCCAUGAUUCCAGGAGGUGGGUCAAAAAGGAUCUUGCUUUGAUGGAUGUCAUAGAGUGUUCUGCCUAUGUUUUCCUCUAGGAGUUUUAUAGUGUCUGGCCUUACAUGUAGGUCUUUAAUCCAUUUUGAGUUUAUUUUUGUGUAUGGUGUUAGGAAGUGUUCUAAUUUCAUUCUUUUACAUGUUGCUGUCCAAUGUUCCCAGCACCACUUAUUGGAGAGGCUGUCUUUUUUCCAUUGUAUAUUCUUGCCUCCUUUGUCAAAGAUAAGGUGCCCAUAUGUGCUUGGGUUUACCUCUGGGUUCUCUAUUCCAUUCCAUUGAUCUACCUUUCUAUUUUUGUGCCAGUACCAUACUGUCUUGAUUACUGUAGCCUUGUUGUGUAGUUUGAAGUCAGAAAGCCUAAUUCCACCAACUCCGUCUUUCCUUCUCAAGAUUGCUUUGGCUAUUCGGGGUUUUUUGUGUUUCCAUACAGAUCAUAAGAUUUCUUGCUCUAGUUCUGUGAAAAAUGCUGUUGGUAAUUUGAUGGGGAUUGCGUUGAAUCUGUAAAUUGCUUUGUGUAGGAUAGUCAUUUUCACAAUGUUGAUUCUUCCAAUCCAAGAACAUGGUAUGUCUCUCCAUCUGUUUGUUUCGUCUUUGAUUUCUUUCAUCAGUGUCUUAUAGUUUUCUGCAUUACAGGUCUUUUGCCUCCUUAGGAAGGUUUAUUCCUAGGUAUUUUAUUCUUUUUGUUGCAAUGGCAAAUGGGAGAGUUUCCUUAAUUCCUCUUUCUGCUCUUUCGUUGUUAGUGUUUAGGAAUGCAAGAGAUUUCUAUGCGCUAAUUUUGUAUCCUGCUACUUUACUAAAUUCAUCACUUAGUGCUAGCAGUUUUCUGGUAGAAUCUUUGGGGUUUUCUAUAUAUAAUAUCAUGUCAUCUGCAAAGAGUGACAAUUUUACUUCUUCUUUUCCAAUUUGGAUUCCUUUUAUUUCAUUAUCUUCUCUGAUUGCUGUGGCUAAAACUUCCAAAACUAUGUUGAACAGUAAUGAUGAGAGUGGGCACCCUUCUCUUGUUCCUGUUCUCAGAGGGAAUGCUUUCAGUUUUUCACCAUUUAGAAUGAUGUUGGCUGUUCGUUUGUCAUAUAUGGCUUUUAUUAUGUUGAGGUAAUUUCCUUUUAUGACCAUUUUCUGGAGAGUUUUUAUCAUAAAUGGAUGUUGAAUUUUGUCAAAAGCUUUUUCUGCAUCUAUUGAGAUUAUCAUAUGUUUUUUAUCCUUCAGUUUUUAAAUAUGAUGUAUCACAUUGAUUGAUUUGCAUAUAUUGAAGAAUCCUUGCAUUCCAGGGAUAAACCCCACUUGAUCAUGAUGUAUGAUAUUUUUAAUGUGUUGUUGGAUUCUGUUAGCUAGUAUUUUGUUGAGGAGUUUUGCAUCUGUAUUCAUCAGUGAUAUUGGCCUGUAAUUUUCUUUUUUUGUGACACUUUUGCCUGGUUUUGGUAUCAGGGUGAUGGUGGCCUCGUAGAACGAGUUUGGGAGUGUUCCUCCUUCUGCUAUCUUUUGGAAGAGUUUGAGAAGGAUAGGUGUUAACUCUUCUCUAAAUGUUUGAUAGAAUUUGCCUGUGAAUCCAUCUGGACCUGGGCUUUUGUGUGUUGGGAGAUUUUCAAUCAGUCUCAAUUUCCGUACUUGUGAUUGGUCUGUUCAUAUUUUCUAUUCCUUCCUGGUUCAGUCUUGGAAGAUUGAACUUUUCUAAGAAUUUAUCCAUUUCUUCCAGGUUAUCCAAUUUAUUGGCAUAUAGUUGCUUGUAGUAGUUUCUCAUGAUCUUUUGUAUUUCUGCAGUGUCAGUUGUUACUUCUCCUUUUUCAUUUCCAAUUUUGUUGAUUUGCGUCUUCUCCCUUUUUUCCCUGAUACGUCUGGCUAAUGGUUUAUCAAUUUUGUUUAUCUUCUCAAAGAACCAGGUUUUAGUUUUAUUGAUCUUUGCUAUUGUUUCCUUCAUUUCUUUUCCAUUUAUUUCUAAUCUGAUCUUUAUGAUUUCUUUCCUUCUGCUCACUUUGGGGUUGUUUUGUUCUUUCUCUAAUUGUUUUAGGUGUAAGGUUAGGUUGUUUACUCAAUAUUUUUCUUGUUUCUUGAGGUAGGAAUGUAUUGCUAUAAACGUCCCUCUUAGAACAGCUUUUGCUGCAUCCCAUAGGUUUUGGGUUGUUGUGUUUUCAUUGUCAUUUGUUCUAGGUAUUUUUUUAUUUCCUCUUUGAUUUCUUCAGUGAUUUCUUGGUUGUUUACUAGCGUAUUGUUUAGCCUCCACGUGUUUGUAUUUUUUACAGGUAAUCGAUAUCUAGUCUUAUGGCAUUGUGGUCAGAGAAAAUGCUUGAUAUGAUUUCAAUUUUCUUGAAUUUACCAACGCUUGAUUUGUGACCCAAGAUGUGAUCUAUCCUGGAGAAUGUUCCGUGUACACUUGAAAAGAAGGUGUAUUCUGUAGUUUUUGGAUGGAAUGUCCUAUAAAUAUCAAUUAAGUCAAGAUGGUCUAAUGUGUCAUUUAAAGCUUGUGUUUCCGUAUUUAUUUUCUGUUUGGAUGAUAUGUCCAUUGGUGUAAGUGGGGUGUUAAAGUCUCCUACUACUAUUGUGUUACUGUCGAUGUCCCCUUUUAUGGCUGUUAGCAUUUGCCUUAUGUAUUGAGGUGCUCCUACCUUGGGUGCAUAGAUAUUUACAAUUGUUAUAUGUUUUUCUUGGAUGGAUCCCUUGAUCAUUAUGUAGUGUCCUUCCUUGUCUCUUGUAAUAGUCUUUACUUUAAAGUCUAAUUUGUCUGAUAUGAGUAUUGCUACUCCAACUUUCUUUUGACUUUCAUUUGCAUGGAAUAUCUUUUUCCAUCCCCUAACUUUCAGUCUAUAUGUGUCCCUUAGUCUGAAGUGGGUUUCUUGUAGACAGCAUGUGUAAGGGUCUUGUUUUUGUAUCCAUUCAACCAAUUUGUGUCUUUUGGUUGCAGCAUUUAAUCCAUUUACAUUUAAGGUGAUUAUUGACAUGUAUGUUCCUAUUACCAUUUUCUUAAUUGUUUUGGGUUUGUUUUUGUAGGUCUUUUCCUUCUCUUGUGUUUCCUGCUUAGAAAAGUUCCUUUAGCAAUUGUUGUAAGGCUAGUUUGGUGGUGUUGAAUUCUCUUAACUUUUGCUUGUCUGUAAAGCUUUUGAUUUCUCUGUCAAAUCUGAAUGAGAUUCUUGCUGGGUAGAGUAUUCUUCGCUAUAGGUUUUUCUCUUUCAGGACUUUCAGGAUAUCCUGCCACUCCCUUCUGGCCUGCAGAGUUUCUGCAGAAAGAUCAGCUGUUAUCCUUAUGGGUUUUCCCUUAUAUGUUAUUUGUUGCUUUUUUCUUGCUGCUUUUAAUAUUUUUUCCUUGUGUUUAAUUUUCAUUAGUUUGAUUAAUAUGUGCCUCGGUGUAUUUCUCCUUAGGUUUAUUCUGUAUGGGACUCUCUUUGCUUCUUUGACUUGAUUAUUUUCUUUUCCAUGUUGGGGAAGUUUUCCACUAUAACCUCUUCAAAUAUUUUCUCAGACCUUUCUUUUUUUUCUUCUUCUGGGAUACAUAUGAUUCGAAUGUUGGUGUGCUUAAUGUUGUCACCAAGGUCUCUGAGACUGUCUUCCAUUCUUUUUAUUCUUUUUUCUUUUUCCUGCUCUGUGGCAGUUAUUUCCCCCAAUAUAUCUUCUAACUCACUUAUUCGUUCUUCUGCCUCAGUUAUUCUACUGUUUAUACCAUCUAGAGUAUUUUUAAUUUCAGUUAUUUGGUUGUUCAUUACUGUUUGUUUGCUCUUUAGUUCUUCUGAGUCCUUAUUAACUGUUUCUUGUAUUUUCUCUAUUUUGUUAUCAAGAUUUUGCAUCAUCUUUACUAUCAUUACUCUGAAUUCUUUUUCAGGCAGUUUUCCUAUUUCCUCUUCAUUUAUUUGGUCUUGUGUAUUUUUACCUUGUUCCUUCAUCUGCAACAUAUUCUUUUGUUGUCUCAUUCUCCGCCCCCCUUUGAAUGGGCGGGAUUGUGUUCCUGUCCCACUGGGUGUUUGGCCUGAGGUUUCAAGCACUGGAGUUUGUAGGCUAUUGAGUAUAGCUGGGUCUUGGUGUUGAGGUGAGAACCUCUGGGAGACCCCACUCUGAUGAAUAUUCCCUGGGGACUGGGUUUCCCUGUUAGUCCAAUGUUUUGGACUCAGAGCUCCCACCUCAGGAGCUCAGGCCUGACCCCAGGCUUGUGAAUCAAGAUCCCACAAGCUGGGGACUUCCUAGGUGAUGCAGUGGUUGAGAAUCCGCCUGCCAGUGCAGGGGACAUGGGUUUGAUCCCUGCUCCAGGAAGGUCCCACAUGCUGUGGAGCAGCUGGGCCCAUGCGCCACAACUACUGAGCCUGCGCUUUAGAGCCCAUGAGCCACAACUAUUGAGCCCAUGUGCUGCAACUACUGACACCCACGUGCCUAGAGCCCAUGCUCUGCAACAAGGGAGGCCACGGCAAUGAGGAGCCUGCGCACCACAACGAAAAGUAACCCCCACUCACUGCAACUAAAAAGAAAGCCCGUGCACAGCAAAAAAAAGACCCAACACAGCCAAUAAAAUAAAUAAAUAAAUAAAUUUAUAAAAAAAAAAGAAGAUCCCACAAGCUGUGUGGAGCAGGAAAAACAAAAAACGUUAAAAAAAAAAAAAAGAGUAGGAGAACAGCAGAACAAUAGCAAGAUAAAAAAUAUGAUAAGAAUAGGAAACUAACAGAUGUGUUAGAAAAAAUUUUUAAAAAAUAGAUGGAGCAACAACUGGAAGGUAAAACAACUGCAAUAGGCUAACUGAGGAGGUGGGAAAAAGAAAAAAGAAAAAAGGAAAAAAAAAAGCCAGAAAAGGUCUUGGCUGUGGGGGUGGGGCUUGGACAAGGGUGGGAGUGGGGGGUUGGGGUGGAUUAGGCAGUGGAUAGGGCCUACGCUUAGAAAAGGCCCUGGGGGUGGUGGGGAAUGGGGCUUAGGCCCAAUGAGGCAAAGGGGCCCAGGAAUGCCUCUGGUCUUGGGGGCAAAGGAGCAGGUCCAGGUAUCCAGCAGGCUCCCUGUGCCUGAGUUGGUGGGAAAAAUGCUAGGCACCUCCCCUAAUCCUCCAAUCUCGGAGGGUCCCUCCCCCUUGGGUUCUCUUCUUCCCCACCCCUUCCCUCCUAUUCCCCUAGGACCCUCACAGCUGGAGGGGGCACUGGAAGGCAGGAGACCAGACUCUGAUGCCCAACAGGCUUCCUAGGGCCAACUGGGCUAGGGUAACACCUGGGGCACUUCCCCAGAUCUCCCAGUCUUGUAGAGUCCCUGUCUGCCUCUCUUCCUCUCCCCUCCCCCCACUCUCCUAGGUACCAAGCUGCUGGAGGGGGCCCUGGAGUGUGAAAGACCCGGUCUGUGAGCCUAGCAGGCUUCCCAGGGCUAGUGGGCAGGGGAAAUACCUUCCCCGCCUCCCUUGAUCCUCCAAUCCCAGAAGACCCCCUCCCCUGCCUGCCUCUCCUCUUCUCCCCUGCUUUCCUCCUACACCCCUAGGACCAGUGAGACCUAGAGGGUUCCGUGGAGGACUGAAGACCAGGCCUAGGGGCACAACAGGCCUCCUGGUGCCAAGUGGGUAAGGAGAUUUCCUGCAGCGUCUCCCCUGAUCCUCCAGUCCUGUGAGGGCCCCCCCCCCCCCCCCGCCACCGCACUGUCUGCCUCUCUUCCUCUUCCCCCUCCUCCCUCCCUCCCACACCUGUAUGACCCACUCAGCUGGAGAGGGCCCCAGAGACAGAGGGACCAGACUCAGGAGCCCAGCAGGCCCCCUGGGCCCAAGUAGGCAGGGGAAAGGUCCUGCACCUCCCCUGGUCCUCUGAUCCUGGAACAUCCCACCAGCAGUCAGCCUCUCUUCCUCUUCCCCUGCCACGCUCCUACACCCCCCAGGACCAACGCAUCUGGGAGGGGACCCUGGAGAGUUGGAGACCAGGCCUGGGAGCCCAGCAGGCUUCCUGGGCCAGUGGGCAGCGGAAAUGCCUUCCACUUCUCCCUGGAUCCCAGAGGGUCCCUCCCUCCUUCCGCCUCUCUUCUUCUCCCCCCACCUCUUCCCUCCUGUACUCCUAGGACCAAUGGCCUGGAGGGGCCUUGGAAGGUGGAGGACCCGCCGGGAAGAAAUACCCGGUGAUGCCUCCCCUAUUCUGACCUGGAGAAAUCCCUUCCCAUCCCCACUAUCUGCCUCUCUCCCUCCCUGACCCACUCCCCCCACCCACUGCCCCCAGGACCCACGUGCAGGAGGGGGGCCGGGAGAGUGAAGGACCAGGCCCAGGAGCCAGUCAGCCUCCCUGGCCAAGAGGGACAGCAAAAAGCCUUUUCGCCUCCCCUCACCCAUCUCAAAGCCCCACCCCCACCUGUCUGCCUCUCCACCUCCUUGCGCCUCCUCCCUCCUUCCCACACCCCCAGGACCCAGGCAGCCUGGAGGGGGCCUUGGAGGGUGGAGGACCCCGCUGGGGAGCCCAGCAGGCCUCCUGGCUUCCUGGGCGGGAGAAACCCAGAUGCAGUUUCCCGAUCUCCCCAGCCCCCAAGGGUCCCUCCAGGCUGGAACCUCCCCCUUCACCCAGCCACCCCCCAGGGGCACCAUCCCAUCCAGCUUCCCCUUCCCCGCCCCAGUGACUUCCCCCAGGUGCUACCCGGUUGCUCCGGGGUUCCUCCAGUCUCCUUGGGCCUCAGGUCCCCCACCGGCCUCAGGCAACCGAUCUAUUUAUGGGGAGACGCGAUCUCCGUGUCUUCCCAUGCAGCCAUCUUGACUCCGCCCCCCUGAUCCUUUUAAUGUAUUGAUGAAUUCAGUUUGCUAAUAUUUCAUUGAGGAUUUUUGCAUCUAUGUUCAUCAGGGAUACUGGCCUGUAAUUUUCUUUUCUUGUGGCUUUCUUAUCUGGUUUUGGUAUCAGGGUAAUGGUAGCCUCAUAAAAUGAGUUUGGAAGAGUUCCCUUCUCUUUUUCUAAAAUAAAUAAAUAAAUAAUUAAUUAACUGGCUGCAUUGGGUCUUCAUUGCUGCACAUGGGCUUUCUCUGGUUGCAGGCACUACUCUUCAUUGUGGUGCAAGGGGCUUCUCAUUAUGGUGGCUUCUCUUGUUGCAAAGCACGAACUCUAGGCAUGUGGGCUUCAGUAGUUGUGGUACAGGGGCUCAAUAGUUGUGGCUCAUGGCCUUAGCUGCUUCGCAGCAUGUGGGAUCUUCCUGGAGCAGGGAUUGAACCCAUGUCCCCUGCACCGGCAGGUGGAUUCUUAACCACUACACCACCUAGGAAGUCCCCCCUUCUCUCUCUCUCUUUUUUGGAAGAUUUUGAGAAGGGUUGGUAUUAAUUCUUCUUUGAAGGUUUGGUAGAAUUUACCAGUGAACGUUUGGUCCUGGACCUUUGUUUCUUGGGAGGCUUUGGAUUACUGAUUCAAUCUCCUUCUAGUAAUUGGUUUGCUCAGAUUUUCUGUUUCUUCCUGGUAGAUUCUGUGUUUCUAGGAAUUUAUUCAUUUCUUCUAGUUUCUCCAAUUCAUUGGCGAAUAAUUGUUCCUUGCUUUUUAGACAGUAUUUGUGGACAUAUUCCUAGCAUGUCAUUAGUAGCCUUCAAUUUUGUUCUGUUCCAUAAAUGAACACACAGUGGCUGGCUUCCAUGAGUGUCUUGACUGAAGCUCAAGAAGGUUCUCUGCCUUCAAAUAAACUGGAAAGGAGGUGAAUAAUGACUUAAAGAUAAGUGAACUGAAGAAUCUUAGGGCGUGGGGCCUGGGAGAAUUAUUCUGGUGGUUGUAGGAAUAGAUCAGACCAAAGAGAGCAGUAGAGAAUGUAGAGUUUUUAAAAGCUCCUGAUAGCCCUGAUCUUCAUUCAGUUUCUAAGCCAGAUGAACAUUUGGACUGCCUCCAGGAAACAGAGUAUGAAAGAGAGACAAGUUACCUAAUUGUGAGGUGACCCAUCCAGCAUCAAAGCCAGGAUCAAAAUGAACACCAGGACCUUCAUCCUCAGAGCAGAUUCGGCACUUCUGGGAGAAUGAGAAGCUGGCCCAAGGAAGAGAAUUCCGGUUUCUGGAGAGGCCAGGACCAGUCCCUGUAUACAUGUGGGACUGGAGCUGGCAUCCCGCCAAGUCUCUCCCUUCCUGAACAGCAGCAGGUGACUAAAUGGUUGGUCAAAACCACAGGUCCACAGGAUGGGCCCAGCCGGGCUGGAGGGCACGGAAGCCACACCGUGGACACCUUCUACAGAGCAGGAUGCCAAGGCCUGCAGUGACCAGGCGGCUCAGCAGCGGGUGGUGCAGCCCGUUGUAGAGGGCGGUGCCCGUCAGGAGGAUGAGGAAGCCGAGGAUCUGCAGCGGGUGGAAGGCCUCCCAGCCCAGAGCCAGGCUCACG